UUCAAUUCAGAACUGCAGAUAGUACGGUUUCCACAGGAGCGGGGAUGCCUGAGUACAAGUGGCUGAGUUCCGAGGGACUUUAGGAAAUGCUUCUCCGGCUUCCUGGGCAAGCAAACAGGACUCUGCACCUGCACCCCAGCCUGGGGAGAAGCCCCUGUUCUGCCUGCAGGCGUGAGGAACUACAGCCAGAAGCAGCAUUUAGAAAUUGCUCUGGACACAAGAACCAAGAAAUCCAUGAAGGAGACUGAAGCCAGCUCCAUCUACAUGUUCAAUGGCAACCCAGUAAGAGCCACAGCAAUGUGCCUAUCUCUGAGGAACACAAAGAGGUUGGUUCUCUGUACCCUAAAAUUAGGAUUGAUUAAGGUACGUCAUUUCUUUGAGUUCACUGGAAACACUUUGUUCUGUUCCUGUUAGAGUUUCUCCUCUUGUUUUCUCUCUCUCUCUCUCUCUCUCUCUCUCUCUCUCUCUCUCUCUCUCUCUCUCUCUCUCUCCCCAUCCCUCCCAUUUCUUCUCCCUUUUAUUGCUCUCAUUGGCAGAUGUCUUUUAUAAUUUAUGUUGUUUACUGUCCUUUCAUUAAAUGUAGGCUGCAUAACUUAGACAAGGCAGCAGCCAGAGCAUCUAAGUCCACAGGGGAGGAGAGCGCAUGCAGGAGCCGCUCACACUGUCUCAUCGGGCAGUUCUAAUAAGCAUCUUGGUGCCACUGAAUGCAAAGCUGCCCUCAAAUGAGAGCUUUCAUCUUCAUGCUUUUUUAAAUAUAAAAGUAACCCUUGAAGCCCUUUGAAGGACCCCACGCAGCAACAUACACAAGGAAAUAGAUCAGCAAGGCUUUGAAAAACAUCCUUGUACAAAACUCUGUAAAGCAUCUCACCAUCUUCAUCAAGAGAGACAUCUAGGUAAAUAAUGGCUUUUAAUAAGACACAUGACCGUCUCAAUUAUGGGGUCAUUAUUGUGUGUUCCCUGUGCUGUUUUAUGUUCCCAGCAGGGUGUGUUUCUUUUCUUCUCCCCCUCACAUCUAAAUUUUCAGAACUGUCUACAGUUCUCUGUGUAUAAAAUGUAUCCACAAAGCUACAGUAGUUUGUGUUUUCUUUGUUUUUAAUAAAACUACCCCCACCUGCACACACACACACACACACACACACACACACACACACACAAACUUUGUUAAGUGGGCAGACAGACUGUAACUAGACGGUUAUACAUAAGGGGUAUAAAAUGAAGGGUAAAAGGCUAUAAUUUCUUUUCUGUGGUGGCAACCAAAAUCAGCUCCUGGAGUCAGGUGACUUAAAAACAUAGCUACUGGAGCCUGAAGCCUGGAAGAGCAGACUGCCCAGUCUGUGGUAAAUGGGACCCCACUUCUGAGGAUGUGCUAUGUGGCAUGAUGGGAAGUCCUCACUGAGUGCUUUUCCCAGUUAGUGCCCAGGUCCCCAUACCUGUGACCCACUUCCCAGUCAAUUGUAUCCCAGUCUUCCACAGCUCCAUGUUUGAUUUCCCUUCCCCCUAUUUCAUUAAUUUAAAGCAAAAUAAAACAAAAACAACAGCCACCAAGCCCCUGACUUCUGUCCCAGGCUGAGAGCUCCUAGAGAGGAAACAAAACAAAACAAAACAAAACCUCAAAAGAACAUGUUUUCAAAAGAGACACUGCUGUCUAAAAGCAUCCUCAGUGGACCAGAGGUCCACGCAGUGACUGUGCUGGGGCUGUAGAUUGUCGGUCCCAGCCCCUUCUCAGCAACACACAGGUUUUAAAGUGAUAAAACUCCAGAGGUGUGUCUAGCUUGCGUAUUCACCGGGCACUUGAGAUUUUUCAGUUCAUAAUUUAGCUAACUCCCAUUUUCAUCGGAUUUAACAGAAUUAUAAAAAUGAUAGGAAGCAUAGGCAUUGUACAACAUGUGGCUCAUGUCAGGUGAGAAUUGGGGGGUACUGAAGGUAGACCCCUAAGCCAUAGAACUAGCUGGAAGUGUCAUUGGUUUAAUUACAGGUUUGCAUAUGUGUACACUAAGAAACACACCCUCAGAGUGGAUGUUGCAGAAAUGUGUAAGGAGAAAUAUAGUUAUCCAAAUACACACGUUCAGCAAACGGGGAUUACCAUUCAACAUAGACAAGAGUGUGUUUUAAAACUGCCUGAAGAUGUUCUUCACACAGCAAACUGACUUCAGUCAUGUAUCUUCUGACAACUGUAUAAUCUGCUCGUAAUCAAAUAUUUUCCUUUGGACACAUGUGCAGCACCCAUUUGACCUUUCUGUAUUCUAAUGUGUUUUGCUCACAUUCCUGUAGUUUUGACUGCUCAGGAGGAGGCCUAGAAGAAAAGAAGGUAAGUUAGUGCAUAAGCUGUGUUAGGUCUUCGGUAAUUCGUCCCUUGUUUUCAGUAUCCUGUUUAAAAAAAAAAAA